UGGGGAAUAUUGCACAAUGGGCGCAAGCCUGAUGCAGCCAUGCCGCGUGUAUGAAGAAGGCCUUCGGGUUGUAAAGUACUUUCAGCGGGGAGGAAGGCGAUAAGGUUAAUAACCUUGUCGAUUGACGUUACCCGCAGAAGAAGCACCGGCUAACUCCGUGCCAGCAGCCGCGGUGAUACGGAGGGUGCAAGCGUUAAUCGGAAUUACUGGGCGUAAAGCGCACGCAGGCGGGCUGUCAAGUCGGAUGUGAAAUGCCCGGGCUCAACCUGGGAACUGCAUUCGAAACUGGCAGGCUAGAGUCUUGUAGAGGGGGGUAGAAUUCCAGGUGUAGCGGUGAAAUGCGUAGAGAUCUGGAGGAAUACCGGUGGCGAAGGCGGCCCCCUGGACAAAGACUGACGCUCAGGUGCGAAAGCGUGGGGAGCAAACA
rnacentral:rRNA from 1 species